CCAGAGUCAUGUGGGUCCAGUGGCCAGAUAUCGAUCAGGACAUGGAGAUGGCCCAGGGUGCAGUGAGGGACCUUGAUAACAGAGCUGAAGCUCAGGUUGGCACAGGGAGACACCCAGAGGCCCUUCUCACCUUCCUCCUACUCUGGGAGCAAAACCAGCCCUUCCACGGAUUCAGACUUUAAUCUACUUAUAAAACUCCUAGCAAGCCACAUCGAAACGGCCUCAGAUUGCUGGGGUACUCAACUUGAGACAUACACAACUACUCACACUGCCUCACAGCUUUCACGUGGAUGAACAUUCAUCUAUGGGCAAAGAGAGAAUAAAGUCUGUGAAUCAUACCACUCAUCACAAUGAACGUCCUAAGCCUUCAUCCUA